rnacentral:rRNA from 1 species
UACGGAGGGGGCUAGCGUUGUUCGGAAUUACUGGGCGUAAAGCGCACGUAGGCGGCUUGGUAAGUUAGAGGUGAAAGCCUGGAGCUCAACUCCAGAAUUGCCUUUAAGACUGCCGAGCUAGCAGGUGAGAGAGGUGAGUGGAAUUCCGAGUGUAGAGGUGAAAUUCGUAGAUAUCGGGAGGAACACCAGUGGCGAAGGCGGCUCUCUGGGCAGACACUGACGCUGAGACGCGAAAGCGUGGGUAGCAAACAGG